rnacentral:tRNA from 5 species
AGGCGCGUAGCUCAGUUGGUUAGAGCACUACCUUGACAUGGUAGGGGUCGGUGAUUCGAAUUCACUCGUGCCUACCA